UACGUAGGGCGCAAGCGUUGUCCGGAAUUAUUGGGCGUAAAGAGCUCGUAGGCGGUUUGUCGCGUCUGCUGUGAAAACCUGAGGCUCAACCUCGGGCUUGCAGUGGGUACGGGCAGACUAGAGUGUGGUAGGGGAGACUGGAAUUCCUGGUGUAGCGGUGAAAUGCGCAGAUAUCAGGAGGAACACCGGUGGCGAAGGCGGUUCUCUGGGCCUGAUCUGACGCUGAGGAGCGAAAGCGUGGGGAGCGAACAGG
rnacentral:rRNA from 1 species